UGGUACUGCAAUGUAAACAUUGCAGUUUCUGUAAAACUGCAAUGUUUAACAUUGCAAGACUA
rnacentral:miRNA from 1 species